rnacentral:rRNA from 1 species
CGAUGCGAUCAUACCAGCACUAAUGCACCGGAUUCCCAUCAGAACUCCGAAGUUAAGCGUGCUUGGGCGAGAGUAGUACUAGGAUGGUGACCCCUGGGAAGUCCUCGUGUUGCAUCCC